AUAUAUCGGUUAUGGAUGAGCUUGCGGGGUAUUAGGUAGUUGGUGUGGUAAUGGCGCACCAAGCCCAAGAUACCUAGCCGGUUUGAGAGAACGAUCGGCCACACUGGGACUGAGACACGGCCCAGACGCUUACGAGCGGCAGCAGUGGGGAAUAUUGGACAAUGGGCGAAAGCCUGAUCCAGUGAUAUCGCUUUGGGGAUGACGGCGACAUACGUUGUAAACCCAAUGAAGUACGUUUAGAUUAUGACCGUACGUAUUUUAGAAGUCCCGGC
rnacentral:rRNA from 1 species